GGAGAGGUCGCAUAGUUGGCUUAGUGCAGUGGUUUGCUAAACCGCCGUGGGGGUUAUACCCCACCGAGAGUUCGAAUCUCUCCCUCUCCGCCA
rnacentral:tRNA from 1 species